CUUUACUGCUAAUAUAAGUAAUGUUUGUCAACUUCUUACCUAAUAAACAAUUUAGGGCAGUCAUUUCUGCUUAAAAGUGUUCUUUAAUUUGUUAAAACUAGUUGCCUGCAGAUUGUUUUAUGAAUCCAUUGUCAAAUUAUGAAAGUUAAAGUGCAAUAACGUUUGAAGACUAUAAGUGAUGGUGUAUCUUGUUUGUCACAAGAUAAAUGUUUUUGUCUUUAUGUCAGAGAUUUUCAACUGU